rnacentral:rRNA from 1 species
UUUGAAAUCGGCCCCCAGGUCGAGUUGUAAUUUGUAGAUUGUAUCUUGAGAGCGGAUUAAAGUCUGUUGGAACACAGCGCCUUAGAGGGUGACAGCCCCGUAAAAUCUAUUCUCAUUGUAAGAUACUUUCGAAGAGUCGAGUUGUUUGGGAAUGCAGCUCUAAGUGGGAGGUAAAUUCCUUCUAAAGCUAAAUAUUGACGAGAGACCGAUAGCGAACAAGUACUGUGAAGGAAAGAUGAAAAGCACUUUGAAAAGAGAGUGAAAAAGUACGUGAAAUUGUUAAAAGGGAAGGGUAUUGAAUCAGACUUGGUGCUGUUGUUCAACUGUGUCUCGGCACAGUGUACUCAGCAGUACUAGGCCAAGGUGGGGUGUUUGGGAGUGAAAAAGAAGUUGGAACGUAACUCUUCGGAGUGUUAUAGCCUACUUUCAUAGCUCCUCAGGCGCCUCAGGACUGCGCU